AGGCAUCGAACAGAAGACAGGCAUCGGCGGCUUCGGCCACGGCGGUGGCGGCGUCCUGGUUCCGGGCUGGAACCUUGGCGAUCUCUCUCUCUUCUACCUCUCUUCAUACCUCCAGCUACCUCUCCUAGUUCUAGAAGUUUCAAGAACUUGUAUUCCCUAGUUUCUUCUUUUCUUUUUCACCCCAAAACAAUGGUUGCUUGUAUGGUGGAUCCUUGCUAUUGAAUUGGAGGAAUUGGGUUCCUAACAAUCUGGUAUCAGAGCCGUUCGGUUCACUGGGAUUCUUGUCAUGGAGGAGUUUGGGAGGCAGCCAUGCAAGAGGGAGCAGGAAUUGGGUUGGGAAAGUUUUCAUCCAAGCAGCACCCACCAACUGUUCGAUGAAAUGUCAAGCCCAUUGGAGGUGUUUGAGGAAGACGUUCUUCUUGUCAUGAGUGAGGAGAACAUCACAUGGGAUGAAGCACUCCAUCUGUUACAAGAGGAACUGAAGGAUGCCCAAUGUAGAUUUGAUGAGAAGCUAGAUCGUUUUUUGGAGGUGUUCGGCUUGAUGGGAGACAAGAGCAAUCAAUCUGAGGAAGACAAAAGGAGCAAUGAAUCUGAGGAAUUCAGUGCCUCCAUCAAGGAGCUCACCCCCACCACUGAGGCUGCUGCAUUUCAAUCACCCCAAGCAUCACCUUCUUCAGCGCUCACCAAGUGUUCGAUAAUUUGCUUUGGCCUCGACACCAUGUCUGACCUCAACAUGGCAGCAGCAGUUGUGUGCGCCACCACUUCUCUGGCCUCCAUGGAGUUAGUGGCUGGAGGGAACGCAACCUGUGAACCCUACGUUGACACCCCUGGUCAUCCCAAGGAGACGCAUGUCAAGUGUUCGAUGGUUGGCCUUGAGGUCAAGGGUGGCACCGACCACACCAGGGUCACAUGCCAGACCAUGAUAGGUGUGCCUGACGGCGUUCUAGUACCUGAUGCAUCAUCCAAGGUCUUCUCGCCAUGGUUGAUUGUUGAAAUGGACCUUGUUCCCUUGCUGCUCACUGUGUGUUCGAUGAAAUGUUCCAAAGACAAGAAGAAGCUGCUACUGGGGAAUGCUAAGAGAAAUUCAUGGACACCUUCUUGGGUGGGCGGAGUGAUUAGACGAUGGGAGUUGCAGCCUUUGCCAUGGCCUGGAUCCAAAUUAUAUUGGGAAGGUUUACCAUUGAUGCCCCCAUGGCCACCACCGACUCGAGUAAGCUUCCUGGCAUGUGAGACUUUUGAUAUUGGAGCUCUAGUCAUUGGAACAGUGAUUUUAACACAAGCGAUGGUUGAGAUAAAACCAUGGCCUCCACCAAGUGAAGUAAGUGGUCUUCCCUUACUUCCAAUUCAAAGUAUUGGAGCAUUUCAUACUGAGAGGAAAGUUACAGACUUGCAUUGGGCUGAGUUGAAAGCUUGGUCUCUGUUUGAUGAAAAUGGUACCAGCCACAUCCUAACAGAUGAGCCGUGUGAGCUUUACUUGGGUUGUGUAAUUUUCACUGCUGGAAACACUAGGAACCUUGAAAAGCUUGAGUUUAUAAGGUGGACCAAGUGGCAACAACAACUUUUUGCAGAAAGGGAUUAUCCUAAUAGUGCUGAAGGGAAUCAAUUAAUUGCUUGGAAUUUUAAGCAGUACAUUGAUGGAGGAGUGCUUUCCUUUGUUGCUAUAAAGUUGUCAAUCCAGCCAACAAACGUUGAGCAAAUCAGUCAGUACAUUGUUCAAUAUUCAAGUAUUGGGAGAGAAUUGGAUUUCUAUCAUAAAUUGCAUACACUAGCUCAAGUUAUUGGGAGAAAGGAUUCCUUACUUCAGCUAUCUGAACCCCAGUUAACAUCAUGUAAAGUUGGACAAAAUACUGAGAAGGGUGGAUGAUGUCUUAUCAUGGACAAGAGAUGCUCAGAUUUUUUCAAGCUUCUGGCAUUGUUAGAUGGGAAAUGGGAAGCUAUCAGACAUGCAAUGGUUUAUCUUAUCACAAAGCUAAUUCACAUAUCACCAAGGAAUGCACCCUUUAGAUCAAUAAUCAAUUAUCUGCUGGGAGGUAAUAAUCUUGUGGUUCUACACAAAUCAAUUGUUGGGAUCCACUUGGGAUGGUGGGUGUUUCCUUGUGACAUUGGAGUGAGACCCCUGGAAAAAUUGGUGAGGAGAUUAGCACAGUUCUGGCAACAUAAAGGACAAGCAAAGCCUUCUCUUGCAUUCCUGAACAGCAACCCAAGAACAAGCCGUGACAUGAUUUUGCACAGACCCUGGGAUCCUGGUGGUGGUAUCAAUUCCAUACUAUUUCAUUUCUAUCGGCUUGAGGGCAAGCCGAAUGUCAAGGAGAGGGGAUUGUUAGGAACCUGAUUGGGCUGUAUAUGGGCCAAGCUAGCCAAGUCCAAGCGAGGCCCAAGCAAGCAGAAGGAGCAGCAUACAAAAGCAACAGCAACAGCAUUGUUGGAAGGCAUCGAACAGAACACAGGCAUCGGCGGCUUCGGCCACGGCGGCGGCGUCCUGGUUCCGGGCUGGAACCUUGGCGAUCUCUCUCUCUUCUACCUCUCUUCAUACCUCCAGCUACCUCUCCUAGUUCUAGAAGCUUCAAGAACUUGUAUUCCCUAGUUUCUUCUUUUCUUUUUCACCCCAAAACAAUGGUUGCUUGUAUGGUGGAUCCUUGCUAUUGAAUUGGAGGAAUUGGGUUCCUAACAC
rnacentral:lncRNA from 1 species